AUUUUGGAAGAAAUAAAUCGCCUAUGCGCCUGUAGCCCAUAAAAGGAAACGAAAAAACGCCCCUAGAAAAUAUAUUGAAGCGAACCGGGCAGAUACCGAAAAUGAAAAUUGCAACAUCAUAGUAUGAUGUAAUGCAAGCUUGGGAGUCACUGAAGUCAAAACAAAUUAAUACAAAAGAUUUUGUAUUGUCACAAAGAAACAAGAAGCCAAAGCUGACAAUAUCUUCUACAUUCUUUGAAUAGUUCCUGAGAGUCAGCAGAUUCACUGAAUCGAAUAGUAGAGACAAUCUCUCUCUACAUUCAUCGGCGCGAAGUGGAUCGACAGACCUGUUCUCGAAGGCAGCGAUGAGAUCUUCCGGUAAAUGUUCGGCUGGUUCCCACGUAUUUUCACUAGGGGAGUAAUUCUGCUAAUGGAUGAAAUAUUCUAUAUUUCUUCCUUUAACUCGUUUUGCAACAACACGUUCUACUUCGGAAACGCCCAUGACAGUUGGCUUUACCUUCGGACGAUAUUUUGAAUUAGAGGCACGAUCGCAAACAUUAUUCAGUAACGUUGCGUAAAAGCCUGGUUGAUGUCUCGCACGCUUCGACAUGUUAACUCGAAGGAAAAAGAAAGACUAACUCCUGGAGUAAAAGUGUGCGUUUCAAGUAAAAACAAAUGACUUAUGCAUCGCACUGCUAAGUUCACGUAAAACAAUUCACUUAGUCAUGGGUAAAUCGCUGAUUGAGCACCGCUAUUCUACUCCCUUGCCGCAGCCUUUCAAACUCGAAAAGAAUGGCAGGUUCUAAACAACCGGGUCGACAUGAAACAAUUUCAAUAAUUCAGAUGAAGUUUUGACCAACGGGAGUUUGUUAAUCGUCUAUUGAGUCAAAUAAAAAUAUAGUCGAAUCUGCAAA